ACCAAAGAGACUAACUUUAUUGCGAAUCACAGGGAUAACAUCCCAAUGGUGCGCACCGAAAGCAAUGUGGUUUAAUCCUCUCGCGGGUGAGGGUUGGGCGGUGGACCGUCAGGAUAUCUGGCCCUCCCCUAGGCAGUUUCUGGCAAGAGUCCCGGUUUCCGUCCAAAUGUACUAGUGGGCCACUAUUAGUAAGCAGAACUGGCCCUGGAGGAUAAACCAAACGACGGGCUAAGGCGCCCGAUGCUCACUAGAACCCACAAAAGGCGUCCAUCGGUAAAGACAGCAGGACGGUGACCAUGAUCAGUAUCCGACAAUGAGUGUGUAACAACUCCUGAAAAUAGAUGGCGCUGUAGUAUGCAGUCUAAACCCGUCUCGGCAAUUUUCUCCGACCUGCCAGUAAAGACUGGCCGAAGCUGAGACGAGUAGGAGGGUAGCCGCGGUCAGCGCUGGGGCCUUAGACGCAAGUCUUGGUGUAGCGGCCGCGGGUGCCGAUCUUGGUGCUAGUAGCAAAUAGCCGAGCGAAAAAGUCGAAGCGGAGAAGGGUUUCGAGUUACUCCUUCGACCUGCCGCAGCUUUGUCGCUUUUAAGGCCUGAAAACAAUCUUACAGGAAGCGGGUCGUUUUUUAAUCAUACAAAAGUCAGUCUCACUAAAUGUUUGGGCAGAAAGGAAAACGGGUUAGGAUUCUCGCUCUCGUAAUGAGCCGUACCUCAAUCCGCUGCAGGUCUCGAAGAUACGCAGCCUCUAGAU
rnacentral:ncRNA from 1 species